rnacentral:rRNA from 1 species
UUGUCUCUGGCCAUCCUUGGGGAGAUCCUGUUUGGCAUUAAGUUGUCGGGCAGGGGAUACCCAUCGUUUACUGUGAAAAAAUUAGAGUGUUUAAAGCAGGCUUAUGCCGUUGAAUAUAUUAGCAUGGAAUAAUAAGAUAGGACUUCGGAACUAUUUUGUUGGUUUGCGUUACGAAGUAAUGAUUAAUAGGGACAGUUGGGGGUAUUCGUAUUUCGUUGUCAGAGGUGAAAUUCUUGGAUUUCCGAAAGACGAACUACUGCGAAAGCAUUUACCAAGGAUGUUUUCAUUAAUCAAGAACGAAAGUUAGGGGAUCGAAGAUGAUUAGAUACCAUCGUAGUCUUAACCAUAAACUAUGCCGACUCGGGAUUGGUGGUUG